rnacentral:rRNA from 1 species
AUUGAACGCUGGCGGCAUGCUUUACACAUGCAAGUCGAACGGUAACAGGCCGCAAGGUGCUGACGAGUGGCGAACGGGUGCGUAAUGCAUCGGAACGUGCCCAGUCGUGGGGGAUAACUACUCGAAAGAGUAGCUAAUACCGCAUACGAUCUAUGGAUGAAAGCGGGGGACCGUAAGGCCUCGCGCGAUUGGAGCGGCCGAUGUCAGAUUAGGUAGUUGGUGGGGUAAAGGCUCACCAAGCCAACGGUCUGUAGCUGGUCUGAGAGGACGACCAGCCACACUGGGACUGAGACACGGCCCAGACUCCUACGGGAGGCAGCAGUGGGGAAUUUUGGACAAUGGGCGCAAGCCUGAUCCAGCAAUGCCGCGUGCAGGAAGAAGGCCUUCGGGUUGUAAACUGCUUUUGUACGGAACGAAACGGCUCUGGUUAAUACCCGGGGCUAAUGACGGUACCGUAAGAAUAAGCACCGGCUAACUACGUG